GGGCCUGUAGCUCAGCCUGGUAGAGCAUCGCCCUUGCAAGGCGGGGGCCGCGGGUUCGAAUCCCGCCGGGUCCA
rnacentral:tRNA from 1 species